rnacentral:tRNA from 1 species
CACAGUGUAGCUUAUUAAAAAGCAUCUGGCCAACACCCAGAAGAUUUCAUAAAAUGAACACUUUGA